UACGGAGGGGGCUAGCGUUGUUCGGAAUUACUGGGCGUAAAGCGCACGUAGGCGGCUAUGUAAGUUAGAGGUGAAAGCCCGGGGCUCAACUCCGGAAUUGCCUUUAAGACUGCAUCGCUAGAAUUGUGGAGAGGUAAAUGGAAUUCCGGAGUGUAGAGGUGAAAUUCGUAGAUAUUCGGAAGAACACCAGUGGCGAAGGCGACUUACUGGACACAUAUUGACGCUGAGGUGCGAAAGCGUGGGGAGCAAACAGGA
rnacentral:rRNA from 1 species